ensembl:lncRNA
AGACAAGCAGAGACCCCAGUCCAAACCCGAGCUCAGCCGAAGCCUCGUCCAAAGAAAACUCUGAAAAACACAAAGAAGCAGAAGCCAAAGUGGAAAAAGGAGGAAUAUUCAGUGGGAUGUUCAAAAAGGCUCCGAAAACAACAGAAGCCGCUCAGAAUGAAGAGGAAAAACAACCUCUGGACGAUGCCAUUUCCACGAGCAGCACUGAAACUUCUGAAGGGACUGCUAAGGAAAAAGGAGGGAUUUUCAAUGGGAUAUUCAAGAAAGCCCCAAAACCAACAGAAGACGCUUUAACUGACGAGGAGAACCUGGACAAAGAGCUUUCUUCCAGCGCUGAAAAUCUGUCAGAGAAAAAAAAGGAAAAAGGAGUUUUCAGUGGCCUCCUCAAAAAGACUCCAAAGACAGAGGCAUCGGAGGGAGAUGAGAAGAAGGAUGUACGAGGCAGCAGUGAUGAUCUGACUGAACGCAGCUCAAACACAGAGAAGAAUAUUUUCACCAACAUCUUCAAGAGGCAAAAAACAGUGGACGACCCUGAGCCAGAGAAGGAAAAACAACCUCUGGACGAUGCCAUUUCCACGAGCAGCACUGAAACUUCUGAAGGGACUGCUAAGGAAAAAGGAGGGAUUUUCAAUGGGAUAUUCAAGAAAGCCCCAAAACCAACAGAAGACGCUUUAACUGACGAGGAGAACCUGGACAAAGAGCUUUCUUCCAGCGCUGAAAAUCUGUCAGAGAAAAAAAAGGAAAAAGGAGUUUUCAGUGGCCUCCUCAAAAAGACUCCAAAGACAGAGGCAUCGGAGGGAGAUGAGAAGAAGGAUGUACGAGGCAGCAGUGAUGAUCUGACUGAACGCAGCUCAAACACAGAGAAGAAUAUUUUCACCAACAUCUUCAAGAGGCAAAAAACAGUGGACGACCCUGAGCCAGAGAAGGAACAAUCUGGGGAUGAACUUUCAGCGAGUAACGAAAAUCUGUCUGAGAAUAAACAGGACAAAGGGAUGUUCAGUGGACUUCUCAAAAAGACCCCAAAGACUCCAAAAGAAAGAUCAGCUUCACCAGAGCGAGACGACAAAGACGAGACGACGGCGAGCGGCGACGAGCUGACUGAAACCA